rnacentral:rRNA from 1 species
GUUGUUCGGAAUUACUGGGCGUAAAGGGUUCGUAGGUGGCCAACUAAGUCAGACGUGAAAUCCCUCAGCUUAACUGGGGAACUGCGUCUGAUACUGAUUGGCUCGAGUGCAGGAGAGGAAUGCGGAAUUCCAGGUGUAGCGGUGAAAUGCGUAGAUAUCUGGAGGAACACCGGUGGCGAAGGCGGCAUUCUGGACUGCAACUGACACUGAAGAACGAAAGCCAGGGGAGCAAACGGG